rnacentral:rRNA from 1 species
UGGGGAAUAUUGCACAAUGGGGGAAACCCUGAUGCAGCGACGCCGCGUGAACGAAGAAGGUAUUCGUAUCGUAAAGUUCUGUCCUAUGGGAAGAUAAUGACAGUACCAUAGAAGAAAGCUCCGGCUAAAUACGUGCCAGCAGCCGCGGUAAUACGUAUGGAGCGAGCGUUGUCCGGAAUUAUUGGGCGUAAAGGGUACGCAGACGGUUUAAUAAGUCGAAUGUUAAAGAUCGGGGCUCAACCCCGUAAAGCAUUGGAAACUGAUAAACUUGAGUAGUGGAGAGGAAAGUGGAAUUCCUAGUGUAGUGGUGAAAUACGUAGAUAUUAGGAGGAAUACCAGUAGCGAAGGCGACUUUCUGGACACAAACUGACGCUGAGGUACGAAAGCGUGGGGAGCAAACAGG